AUGCAGUCCGCCAAGGCUCAGCUCGGCGAAUCGUCGAGCGACUCCCUGGAUUCGUUGGAUGUGAAUAGCGCUUCACUUCCGACGGCCUCCUCCCCUCUCCCCACGGACGACGCCGAGGUGGAGUCCCAAAAGGGACUAAACCAGGAGGAGGUGGUCCUGGAGGCGCCGCAAGGCGACCUCCCGAACUCCAGGCCCGAAGGGGGUAAAGCCCCAGUGGGAUCUAAGUCCGGCCCUGGGCCGGACACUGCUCCGAAACCUUCAAUGGUUCCAAAGUCCGGCAGGCGGCGCCUUCGUAAGAAGGGCAAGCCUACGACGCCGGCGGCCUCCGUCCAACCGGAGGCGCCGGACAAUUUGCUGGAGGUGCUCAACGGCGCCUCCAUCGACGAGGAGCACCGCACUGUUAUGAGUGCGGUGAUUCAGAAGGUUCAGUCCGCCAAGAGCGGGCUGACCGAAGCCUGUACCAGCCUUCUAACAGGCUUUGAGGUAUGUAUGUUAAAACAUGUAAAAAUGUUACCGCAUAGACAGUAG
rnacentral:rRNA from 1 species